rnacentral:rRNA from 1 species
GACGAACGCUGGCGGCGUGCUUAACACAUGCAAGUCGAACGGUGACCUCGAGAGCUUGCUCUCGGGUGAUCAGUGGCGAACGGGUGAGUAACACGUGAGUAACCUGCCCCAGACUCUGGAAUAACAAUUGGAAACAGUUGCUAAUACCGGAUACGACACGAACGGGCAUCCGUAUCGUGUGGAAAGUUUUUCGGUCUGGGAUGGACUCGCGGCCUAUCAGCUUGUUGGUGAGGUAAUGGCUCACCAAGGCGACGACGGGUAGCCGGCCUGAGAGUGCGACGGGCCAGACUGGGACUGAGACACGGCCCAGACUCCUACGGGAGGCAGCAGUGGGGAAUAUUGCACAAUGGGCGAAAGCCUGAUGCAGCGACGCCGCGUGAGGGAUGAAGGCCUUCGGGUUGUAAACCUCUUUCAGUAGGGAAGAAGGUGUUGAGGUUAAUAACCUCAGCAAUUGACGUUACCCGCAGAAGAAGCACCGGCUAACUC